UCGCCGAGAUUUUCUUCAAUUUACCUUCCAACGAAAGCGAUUUGGUUUCCACGACUGAACUUUCGUUAAUCUCCCACAAAUGAAGAGAGUUGUCGUCACAGAGAGAAACGACGCGUCCCUGUUUCAUUCAUUGUAAAUGUGGCAGUUCGCUAUCUCUCCACGCGAUGAAGAAAAUUCAAACCACAUUCAAAAUGUCAAUUGCAUUCAAAACGUUCAGUUGACAAUUCAAGAUUUUUUCUGAUAUUUAAAUGUUAAGUUUAGACUUUAAAAUUUAAUCAAAAUAAUUUUGGUAUUUUUUAUAAAAAUAUAUCUAUCAUAUUCGUAUAAUUUUGCUGAUAAAUAUGAGACGAAAUACAAUGUAAUUAGGAUAUUUCAUCUUUUGUUUUUCUUUGUUGUUCUUUAUCUGAUGAAAGUGUCAACAAAUAUGUACAUUCGAGAGAAUACAAAUUAUAAAAAAAUAUUAUAAUUUGAAUUUUUUAAAUAAAUAUAGAAACUGUAAAAAAUGUCAAAAA